CGUCAAAGCUCUAUUUGUAAGUCUACAAGGCAUUCUCUACCCCAACUGUAUGCACCCGCUCUUUGUAGAUCAGCAAGUAGCGACAAGUGCAUCAAGUUCACGCGGAACAGUAAUCUUAUUAGCAUCGACCGGCAGAUGUGCGAACUUCUGAGAUAGUCAUGUUAAAGUAAGUGUUUCCCCUCAUUAUGUCUCCUAUAAGUUCUACUCUAAUAUUUCCUCACAUACGUUUUCAAUGUUAAUGUGAGAAUUUGCCAAUUGUCUCACCGUCAAUCGGUAACCCUAAAAGCAACCCUAUACUUGUAGUUUGACGGUGCAUUCCCCUUAGGCACCACAAAUAUGUGCAUCUCUAAGCUCCAUCUCUU
rnacentral:misc_RNA from 1 species